GGGCCCGUAGCUUAGCCAGGAAGAGCGACGGGCUCUUAACCCGUAGGUCCCGGGUUCGAAUCCCGGCGGGCCCGCCA
rnacentral:tRNA from 2 species